CGAACUCUGGUAUUGAUUGGUGCUUGCAUCAUGAUUUACAUUUGAGUGAGUGGCGAACUGGUGAGUAACACGUGGGAAACCUGCCCAGAAGCGGGGGAUAACACCUGGAAACAGAUGCUAAUACCGCAUAACAACUUGGACCGCAUGGUCCGAGUUUGAAAGAUGGCUUCGGCUAUCACUUUUGGAUGGUCCCGCGGCGUAUUAGCUAGAUGGUGGGGUAACGGCUCACCAUGGCAAUGAUACGUAGCCGACCUGAGAGGGUAAUCGGCCACAUUGGGACUGAGACACGGCCCAAACUCCUACGGGAGGCAGCAGUAGGGAAUCUUCCACAAUGGACGAAAGUCUGAUGGAGCAACGCCGCGUGAGUGAAGAAGGGUUUCGGCUCGUAAAACUCUGUUGUUAAAGAAGAACAUAUCUGAGAGUAACUGUUCAGGUAUUGACGGUAUUUAACCAGAAAGCCACGGCUAACUACGUGCCAGCAGCCGCGGUAAUACGUAGGUGGCAAGCGUUGUCCGGAUUUAUUGGGCGUAAAGCGAGCGCAGGCGGUUUUUUAAGUCUGAUGUGAAAGCCUUCGGCUCAACCGAAGAAGUGCAUCGGAAACUGGGAAACUUGAGUGCAGAAGAGGACAGUGGAACUCCAUGUGUAGCGGUGAAAUGCGUAGAUAUAUGGAAGAACACCAGUGGCGAAGGCGGCUGUCUGGUCUGUAACUGACGCUGAGGCUCGAAAGUAUGGGUAGCAAACAGGAUUAGAUACCCUGGUAGUCCAUACCGUAAACGAUGAAUGCUAAGUGUUGGAGGGUUUCCGCCCUUCAGUGCUGCAGCUAACGCAUUAAGCAUUCCGCCUGGGGAGUACGGCCGCAAGGCUGAAACUCAAAGGAAUUGACGGGGGCCCGCACAAGCGGUGGAGCAUGUGGUUUAAUUCGAAGCUACGCGAAGAACCUUACCAGGUCUUGACAUACUAUGCAAAUCUAAGAGAUUAGACGUUCCCUUCGGGGACAUGGAUACAGGUGGUGCAUGGUUGUCGUCAGCUCGUGUCGUGAGAUGUUGGGUUAAGUCCCGCAACGAGCGCAACCCUUAUUAUCAGUUGCCAGCAUUAAGUUGGGCACUCUGGUGAGACUGCCGGUGACAAACCGGAGGAAGGUGGGGAUGACGUCAAAUCAUCAUGCCCCUUAUGACCUGGGCUACACACGUGCUACAAUGGAUGGUACAACGAGUUGCGAACUCGCGAGAGUAAGCUAAUCUCUUAAAGCCAUUCUCAGUUCGGAUUGUAGGCUGCAACUCGCCUACAUGAAGUCGGAAUCGCUAGUAAUCGCGGAUCAGCAUGCCGCGGUGAAUACGUUCCCGGGCCUUGUACACACCGCCCGUCACACCAUGAGAGUUUGUAACACCCAAAGUCGGUG
rnacentral:rRNA from 2 species